rnacentral:rRNA from 1 species
UACGUAGGGGGCAAGCGUUGUCCGGAUUUAUUGGGCGUAAAGAGCGUGUAGGCGGCCAUACAGGUCAGCUGUGAAAACUCGAGGCUCAACCUCGAGACGUCGGUUGAAACCGUAUGGCUAGAGUCCGGAAGAGGAGAGUGGAAUUCCCGGGUGUAGCGGUGAAAUGCGCAGAUAUCGGGAAGAACACCUAUGGCGAAGGCAGCUCUCUGGGGACGGUACUGGACGCUGAGACGCGAAAGCG